CGGACGGGUGAGUAACACGUGGGUAACCUACCCAUCAGAGGGGGAGUAACACUUGGAAACAGGUGCUAAUACCGCAUAAUGUCUGCGGACCAAAGCGGGGGACCGUCCGGGCCUCGCGCCAUCAGAUGAACCCAUAUGGGAUUAGCUUGUAGGUAAGGUAACGGCUUACCUAGGCGACGAUCCCUAGCUGGUCUGAGAGGAUGAUCAGCCACACUGGGACUGAGACACGGCCCAG
rnacentral:rRNA from 1 species